rnacentral:lncRNA from 1 species
AAAUAAAGGCAACAGUAGUAUACCGCUGUUCAAAUCUCGUAAAUCUAUGGACAAAAAACAAAAUUGGAGUAACAAAUAAAAACUGAGGGAAACGCAUUAAAUAUAAGAGGAGAACAACGACACAACAUUAAAAUGUAACAUACACAGAAACGGACUAAGCAUUAGACAAAAUCCGAUGAGAAUAACAAAUAUAACAUCAAAAACAAAUACAUGAAUUUGGGAUAGAAAAGUACCGUGACACGUCUUAUGGUAAUGUGAAUUCACACUCAAAUAUAAGAGAAAACAAACGACACAACGGAAACACAAAGUUAAAA